rnacentral:rRNA from 1 species
AGCAGCCGCGGUAAUUCCAGCUCCAAUAGCGUAUAUUAAAGUUGUUGCAGUUAAAAAGCUCGUAGUUGAAUUUCGAGAUCAAAUUGUUGGUCGUGCCUCGGUACGUACUGGUAAUUUUGGUUUCUCCCUUCUGAAGAACCAUGAUGUCAUUAGUUUGGUGUCUUAGGGAAUCAGGACUGUUACUUUGAAAAAAUUAGAGUGUUUAAAGCAGGCUCGCGCUUGAAUACAUUAGCAUGGAAUAAUGAAAUAGGACGUUUGAUUCUAUUUUGUUGGUUUCUAGGAUCGACGUAAUGAUUAAUAGGGAUAGUUGGGGGCAUUAGUAUUCAAUUGUCAGAGGUGAAAUUCUUGGAUUUAUUGAAGACUAACUACUGCGAAAGCAUUUGCCAAGGAUGUUUUCAUUAAUCAAGAACGAAAGUUAGGGGAUCGAAGACGAUCAGAUACCGUCGUAGUCUUAACCAUAAACUAUGCCGACUAGGGAUCGGAUGAUGUUAAUUUUUAAUGACUCAUUCGGCGCCUUACG